CUACGGGGUGCUCCAGUGGGGAAUAUUGGGCAAUGGGCGCAAGCCUGACCCAGCAACGCCGCGUGAGGGAAGAAGGUUUUCGGAUUGUAAACCUCUGUCCUUGGGGACGAAGAAGUGACGGUACCCAAGGAGGAAGCUCCGGCUAACUACGUGCCAGCAGCCGCGGGUAAUACGUAGGGAGCAAGCGUUGUCCGGAAUUACUGGGCGUAAAGGGUGCGUAGGCGGCAUAUUAAGUCAGGUGUGAAAUACUCGGGCUCAACCCGGGGGCUGCAUUUGAAACUGAUAUGCUUGAGUGUGAGAGGGGAAAGUGGAAUUCCUAGUGUAGCGGUGGUAUGCGUAGAUAUUAGGAGGAACACCAGUGGCGAAGGCGACUUUCUGGCUCAUAACUGACGCUGAGGCACGAAAGCGUGGGGAGCAAACAGGAUUAGAUACCCGCGUAGUC
rnacentral:rRNA from 1 species